rnacentral:rRNA from 2 species
CACACUGUGACUGAGACACGGCCCAGACUCCUACGGGAGGCAGCAGUAGGGAAUCUUCCGCAAUGGACGAAAGUCUGACGGAGCAACGCCGCGUGAGUGAGGAAGGCCUUCGGGUCGUAAAGCUCUGUUGUGAGGGAAGAACAAGUACCGGGGUAACUACCGGUACCUUGACGGUACCUCACCAGAAAGCCACGGCUAACUACGUGCCAGCAGCCGCGGUAAUACGUAGGUGGCAAGCGUUGUCCGGAAUUAUUGGGCGUAAAGCGCGCGCAGGCGGCUUCUUAAGUCUGAUGUGAAAUCUCGGGGCUCAACCCCGAGCGGCCAUUGGAAACUGGGAAGCUUGAGUGCAGAAGAGGAGAGUGGAAUUCCACGUGUAGCGGUGAAAUGCGUAGAUAUGUGGAGGAACACCAGUGGCGAAGGCGACUCUCUGGUCUGUAACUGACGCUGAGGCGCGAAAGCGUGGGGAGCAAACAGGAUUAGAUACCCUGGUAGUCCACGCCGUAAACGAUGAGUGCUAGGUGUUAGGGGUUUCGAUGCCCGUAGUGCCGAAGUAAACACAUAAGCA